AAUAUGAUCGCGUAUCAAAAUCUUUUAAAAAAUUUAAACAAAAACAAUAAAAAUAAUAUAACUGCAGAAAAAGAUAUAUACAAUCUAAAUAAUAAAUCUAACGACGUGUAUAAUAAAAAUGUAGAUAGUGGUGAUAGUAAUGGUGAUAUUACUUCUUUACACCAAGAUAAUCAAGUAGAAAAAAUAAAAGAAAAUAUAAAAAACAUAUUACAAGAUGAGGGUAUAGAUAUAUCUAAUUUAGAACGUAAUAUGCCUCAUUCUGAUAUAUUCGAAGAAAACAAACUAUUAAAAGAAGUUUUAUAUAAUUGUUGGAAGAGGUUACAAUCUUGUGUUGUACAAGAAAAACAGGAUACUAAUUUAAAAACACGUAAUGUUUCUUAUAAUGAAUUACCGUUAACCGAACAAAUUACAAAAAAUGUUAAUGAUGGUUUUGAUAAUAAUAAUAAUAAAAUGUAUGUGUCACAAGGUGUGCCAAUUAAUAAAAAAGGCGUUUGCAAAGCAUCUUAUAAAGGUGUUGAAAAUACAGAUAAUGCAAAUAUAGCUGGUGAAAAUGGUAUUGUAAAUUCGAAUAUAAAUAAUAACAUUACGAGUUCUAAAAAAAGCUUUAUAAGUCAGAAUAUUGCUUGUGAUAAUUGUGUUCUUACUGGAGAGAGUUAUAAUCAACAUAUAACUAAACCAAAUGACAAUGUUGUUAAUUUAAAUGAUGAAGACGAAUCUGAAAUAUUUGAAUCUAUAGUAGAUAUUCCAACCAAUAACAGUCCAACUAUCGACGUGUCUAUAGGAAUUCUUAAUAAAGAAAAAGAAGCAAAUAUAGGCUUAGAAGAAACAAAUGAAGGUUUAGAAGAAGAAAAUGAAGGUAUAGAUGAAACAAAUGAAGGUACAGAUGAAAUAAAUGAAGAGUUCGAUAACUUAAAACAAAAUUAUGAUUAUGAUGAUUCUAAAAUUGGUGAUGUAAAUAGCGAAGAGAAAGAUUUAGAACUUUUAAUUAUGCAAAGCUCUGAUACUUCUAAAAAGUUGGGUGUAAAUCGUAAUGAGAAUAAUUUAGAACUUUUAAUUAUGCAAAACCCUGAUAUUUCUGAAAAGUUGGAUGUAAAUCGUAAUGAGAAUAAUUUAGAACUUUUAAUUAUGCAAAACCCUGAUACAUCUGAAAAGUUGGAUGUAAAUAGCGAGGAUUCAAGUUUAGAAAAUUCUGAAAAUGUUGAUGUAAAUAUCGAGCAGUCAAGUUUAGAAGAUUCUGAAAACGUUGAUGUAAAUAUCGAACAGUCAAGUUUAGAAGAUUCUGAAAACGUUGAUGUAAAUAUCGAGCAGUCAAGUUUAGAAGAUUCUGAAAAUGUUGAUGUAAAUAUCGAGGAGUNNNNNNNNNNNNNNNNNNNNNNNNNNNNNNNNNNNNNNNNNNNNNNNNNNNNNNNNNNNNNNNNNNNNNNNNNNNNNNNNNNNNNNNNNNNNNNNNNNNNAGAAGAUUCUGAAAAUGUUGAUGUAAAUAUCGAGGAGUCAAGUUUAGAAGGUUCUAAAACUGUUGAUGUAAAUAUCGAAGAAGAAAAUUUAGAAAAUUCAGUUACAGCAAGCUCAAAUCUUCUUAACAAGACAUGCGGAAGUUAUAAAGAAAUGCUGGAAGAGUUAGAAAAAUUACAUACAGAUAGUAGUUCAAAAAUAUUUGAAGUAGAUGUAAAAAAAUUACAAGAACACAUUAAUACAUUAUAUAAUAAGAACAUUAAAGAUGUUUUAAAAUCUAUUUUAAAGAAACAUAUGCCUAAAGGUGGUUAUUACUUAGACGAUAACGGGGAGUCGAACGGUGAGUACGACAUAUAUGGAAUGAGUGACAUUGGUGAAUUUGAAUCAGGUACAAAUAGCAAUAAUGUGAAUAAGGAUCAGAAUGUGAAUGAGAAUGUGAAUGAGAAUGUGAAUGAGAAUGUGAAUAAGAAUGAGAAUGAGGAUGAGAAUGAGGAUGAGAAUGAGGAUGAGGAUGAGAAUGAGGAUGAGAAUGAGGAUGAGAAUGAGGAUGAGAAUGAGGAUGAGGAUGAUGGAACAAAAAAUUCAUUUAACAUUAGAAACCGACGUGAUAAUAAUAAUAUAAAUCGACGUGAUUUGGGUGAUACAUCUAACACACAUGAUAAUACAAAUUCACAAGAUAAUAAUUGCAAAAAUGACAAAGAUGAUGAGGGUAAAUGUGUUCCUGAGGAUGACGACACAUCUGACCCAUUUGAAUCUAACAAGCAGGAAUCGGAACAAGAAUCGGGACAAGAAUCGGGACAAGAAUCGGGACAAGAACCGGGACAAGAAUCGAGAAAAGAACCGGAACAAGAACCGGAAAUAAAACCGGAAACAGAUACGGGACAUCAUGAUAAUGAUAUAGGUGAACCUAAUGAUGAUAGUAACUUUGAUGAUACUGCCACAUCUGAGAAAGAUAUUGAUACAUCUGAGAAAGAUGGUGAUACACCUGAGGAAGUAGAUGUUGAUAAUUCUGAUGAAGAAGAUGCUGAUAAAUCUGAUGAAGAAGAUGUUGAUACAUCUGAGGAAGAAGAUAGUGAUACAA
rnacentral:lncRNA from 1 species